GUGCUCGCCUCUGCAGCACAUAUACUAAAAUCGGAACGAUACCAGGAAGGUUAGCAUGGCCCCUGAGCAAGGAUGACAGGCAAAUUCAUGAAGCAUUCCAUAUUAAA
ensembl:snRNA LOC120093909 U6 spliceosomal RNA